rnacentral:rRNA from 1 species
UACAGAGGUCUCAAGCGUUGUUCGGAAUCACUGGGCGUAAAGGGUGCGUAGGCCGCACGGUAAGUCAGAGGUGAAAUCCCGGAGCUCAACUCCGGAAUGGCCUCCGAUACUGCCGUGCUCGAGGACUGGAGAGGAGUCUGGAAUUCACAGUGGAGCAGUGAAAUGCGUAGAUAUUGUGAGGAACACUAGUGGCGAAGGCGAGACUCUGGGCCGUAACUGACGCUGAGGAGCGAAAGCGUGGGGAGCGAACAGG